AACGCUGGCGGCAGGCCUAACACAUGCAAGUCGAGCGGUAGCACAGAGAGCUUGCUCUCGGGUGACGGAGCGGCGGACGGGUGAGUAAUGUCUGGGAAACUGCCUGAUGGAGGGGGAUAACUACUGGAAACGGUAGCUAAUACCGCAUAACGUCGCAAGACCAAAGAGGGGGACCUUCGGGCCUCUCGCCAUCAGAUGUGCCCAGAUGGGAUUAGCUAGUAGGUGGGGUAAUGGCUCACCUAGGCGACGAUCCCUAGCUGGUCUGAGAGGAUGACCAGCCACACUGGAACUGAGACACGGUCCAGACUCCUACGGGAGGCAGCAGUGGGGAAUAUUGCACAAUGGGCGCAAGCCUGAUGCAGCCAUGCCGCGUGUAUGAAGAAAGGCCUUCGGGUUGUAAAGUACUUUCAGCGAGGAGGAAGGCAUUGUGGUUAAUAACCACAGUGAUUGACGUUACUCGCAGAAGAAGCACCGGCUAACUCCGUGCCAGCAGCCGC
rnacentral:rRNA from 1 species